CGCGUAGGCGGCCAAUUAAGUCAAAUGUGAAAUCCCCGAGCUUAACUUGGGAAUUGCAUUCGAUACUGGUUGGCUAGAGUGUGGGAGAGGAUGGUAGAAUUCCAGGUGUAGCGGUGAAAUGCGUAGAGAUCUGGAGGAAUACCGAUGGCGAAGGCAGCCAUCUGGCCUAACACUGACGCUGAGGCACGAAAGUGUGGGGAUCAAACAGGAUUCGAUACCCCAGUA
rnacentral:rRNA from 1 species